GAUGAAGAACGCAGCGAAAUGCGAUACUUGGUGUGAAUUGCAGAAUUCAGUGAAUCAUCGAAUCUUUGAACGCACAUUGCGCCCCCUGGUAUUCCGGGGGGCAUGCCUGUUCGAGCGUCAUUUCACCACUCAAGCCUCGCUUGGUAUUGGGCAACGCGGUCCGCCGCGUGCCUCAAAUCGACCGGCUGGGUCUUCUGUCCCCUAAGCGUUGUGGAAACUUUCGCUAAAGGGUGUUCGGGAGGCUACGCCGUAAAACAACCCCAUUUCUAAGGUUGACCUCGGAUCAGGUAGGGAUACCCGCUGAACUUAAGCAUAUCAAUAAGCGGAGGA
rnacentral:misc_RNA from 1 species